rnacentral:lncRNA from 1 species
UCCUUGGCAACGGUGCCACCACCGGUACCCCGUCCCCUGGUAAUAAAGGUUUAAUACAAACAGUGAUAAACGACAAUGAGAUAACCUAUCAAGUAAAGCCAAAUCUUUUAAAUGAAAAUUCAUCAACCACUUAAUUAGGGAAAAUAACAUGGUUUAUAAUUUUAAUAUUUGAUGACAGUUAGUUGAACAACUAUUUUUCCAUGGUUUCAGAACAUGCUUAUAAUUGAUAAAAUAAAGGACCAAUUCUAUAUUUACUACCAUCAUAUUGCAGAUAACUUAAUACUUGACCAAUUUCAUGCUUGCGGUCAUACUUAACCACGAUCAUGUUGUUCUGCCUAUAAGAAUUAGAUGCAUCAUUUAGCACCCUCAGAUCUCGAUACUUGAUUAGGAACUGAACAAGGAAAGAGGAGGAGAAGUUACCCAGAUGGGACAAAGAAUGCUGCAUAAGGAACCAACAUGAAACCUGAGGGGAGUGAAAUAGCCCCCAACAGAAGCAGAUUCAUGAGCUGCCUCUUGCCCAUGUCUGGCACUCUAUCAGCAGGGAUGCUAGUGGCCUGGCAUGUGAUCCUCAUUCCCUUUUCGUUUUUGACCAAAUGGGUCCUCGUUGGUUUCACAAGAAACGCUUGUGAUGGGCAGAAC